UACGUAGGGGCCUAGCGUUGUCCGGAUUUAUUGGGCGUAAAGAGCUCGUAGGCGGCUUGUCGCGUCGACUGUGAAAUCCCGCGGCUCAACUGCGGGUCUGCAGUCGAUACGGGCAGGCUAGAGUUCGGUAGGGGAGACUGGAAUUCCUGGUGUAGCGGUGAAAUGCGCAGAUAUCAGGAGGAACACCGGUGGCGAAGGCGGGUCUCUGGGCCGAUACUGACGCUGAGGAGCGAAAGCGUGGGGAGCGAACAGG
rnacentral:rRNA from 1 species